AGCAGGAACAUGUUUCAGAUGGGACUCGAGGUCCUGGAGCCCAUCCUGACCCUCUGGGUUGGAAUUUCUGACUCUCUUCUCCGCCUUGACUCAGAAUAGGAAACCGUAUCCUGACCGCGUGUUGCUUUUUAUAGAAUUAAACUUUCUUGCCAACUUCCUCCAGAGAUCAUCCCUCAUCGGCUCUAAACGAUACGCCAAUCAUCAGCUGGGAGUGAGGGGAGCGCUGACCUGUGUGCCCCAAACACAACCGAGGCCCAGAGCACAAGACAGACAGCGGGGACGGCGUCUGGCGCGGGUACCUGGCCUGGUGUCCCAGGCAAAAAGAGAGUGUCAAGGAGAAGGCAUAACAUGUCUGACUCCAUUAUACUGACACACCAAGUCAGAACUUCAACUCAAGAGACUUCCCAAAACAGACAUGACACAGAAACACACUGUUGGAAGAAAUUUCCCUUCCUUCUGUGGACAUACUGGAAUAGGAUGCCAUCCGUGUGACUCCCUCUCGGGGUGAGUAUGGCCAGGCCAUGCCAUUAACACCCAUCCAGUCUCCUGACAUUGCACGUUGUCACCGUGACAUCAUAUCUACUGAAACAACACAUCCUCCUUCCUUGGAAUAAAAAGAUCUUUUCAGCCCUAACCGGUUUGGCUCAGUGGAUAGAGCAUUGGCCUGUGGACUCAAGGGUCCCAGGUUCGAUUCCUGGUCAAGAGUAUGUACCUUGGUUGCGGGCACAUACCCAGUGGGGAGUGUGCAGGAGGCAGCUGAUCGAUGUUUCUCUCUCAUUGAUGUUUCCUGCUCUCUAUCCCUCUCCCUUCCUCUCUGUAAAAAAUCAAUAAUAAUAAUCAAAAAGAUCUUUUCAUAAGACUUA